rnacentral:rRNA from 1 species
GGGGCUGCGGUGCUAUACAUGCAGUCGAGCGAACGGACGAGAAGCUUGCUUCUCUGAUGUUAGCGGCGGACGGGUGAGUAACACGUGGAUAACCUACCUAUAAGACUGGGAUAACUUCGGGAAACCGGAGCUAAUACCGGAUAAUAUUUUGAACCGCAUGGUUCAAAAGUGAAAGACGGUCUUGCUGUCACUUAUAGAUGGAUCCGCGCUGCAUUAGCUAGUUGGUAAGGUAACGGCUUACCAAGGCAACGAUGCAUAGCCGACCUGAGAGGGUGAUCGGCCACACUGGAACUGAGACACGGUCCAGACUCCUACGGGAGGCAGCAGUAGGGAAUCUUCCGCAAUGGGCGAAAGCCUGACGGAGCAACGCCGCGUGAGUGAUGAAGGUCUUCGGAUCGUAAAACUCUGUUAUUAGGGAAGAACAUAUGUGUAAGUAACUGUGCACAUCUUGACGGUACCUAAUCAGAAAGCCACGGCUAACUACGUGCCAGCAGCCGCGGUAAUACGUAGGUGGCAAGCGUUAUCCGGAAUUAUUGGGCGUAAAGCGCGCGUAGGCGGUUUUUUAAGUCUGAUGUGAAAGCCCACGGCUCAACCGUGGAGGGUCAUUGGAAACUGGAAAACUUGAGUGCAGAAGAGGAAAGUGGAAUUCCAUGUGUAGCGGUGAAAUGCGCAGAGAUAUGGAGGAACACCAGUGGCGAAGGCGACUUUCUGGUCUGUAACUGACGCUGAUGUGCGAAAGCGUGGGGAUCAAACAGGAUUAGAUACCCUGGUAGUCCACGCCGUAAACGAUGAGUGCUAAGUGUUAGGGGGUUUCCGCCCCUUAGUGCUGCAGCUAACGCAUUAAGCACUCCGCCUGGGGAGUACGACCGCAAGGUUGAAACUCAAAGGAAUUGACGGGGACCCGCACAAGCGGUGGAGCAUGUGGUUUAAUUCGAAGCAACGCGAAGAACCUUACCAAAUCUUGACAUCCUUUGACAACUCUAGAGAUAGAGCCUUCCCCUUCGGGGGGACAAAGUGACAGGUGGUGCAUGGUUGUCGUCAGCUCGUGUCGUGAGAUGUUGGGUUAAGUC